AAAUGCCAGUCCCUCUCCAAUCACCAUCAGCGGUCCUCGUUGCAUUUAAGACGCCAAGUUUCUCGAGUUUCACGUGCCGUGGUCCCUAAAUAAUGCACCUAAGACGCGGCAACACCAGAACCUGAGCCAAAACACUAACCCAAUGAAAAAGUGCACUGAAAGAACCAGGAGUGGAUCCGGGAUGCUGGUGUUUGCCGUGAUUUGUGGGUUUCAUCGGGUGUUUGCUUUUGCCGGUCUUUAGAGGAGAUAUUUUACAUUUCAUGGU
rnacentral:lncRNA from 1 species